rnacentral:rRNA from 1 species
UACGGGGGGAGCAAGCGUUGUUCGGAUUUACUGGGCGUAAAGGGCGCGUAGGCGGCCAGCACAAGUCAGUUGUGAAAUCUCCGAGCUUAACUCGGAACGGUCAACUGAUACUGUGCGGCUAGAGUGCAGAAGGGGCAACUGGAAUUCUUGGUGUAGCGGUGAAAUGCGUAGAUAUCAAGAGGAACACCUGCGGCGAAGGCGGGUUGCUGGGCUGACACUGACGCUGAUGCGCGAAAGCCAGGGGAGCGAACGGG